GUAGCUUGUGUGAAUAGUGUCAUUACAAACUUUUGUAUAAGGCGGUCUUACGAAAAAGACCGCCUUGAUGGCAGCCAAUAUGCCACGUAACAUCUGAUGUGGCGUGACUCAUCAACCUUUUUUUUAAUCAAAAUAUAAAUACACAUUUUCUUCCCAUUUUCAUUUGAAAACCCUAAUUCCUUUCUCUCUCCUCCAAAGCUCUUUGUCUCUCUCUCCUUCAACGUCGUCACCUUCUCAUCAAAAUUGAUGGCGGAGGUGGCGAAGGCGGCGGCGGAGCUCCUUCCCGUUCCACCGAGUAGCGCGAGAUGAAGGAGGAGCAAUGGUGAUUCUCUUCCUUUUCGACGCCACGGAGGAGCAACGGUGCACGCAAUUGGUUCAUCGUCGACGCCGUCCGCACCUCGCUGCCGCCUUUCUCCACCUCCUCAUCGUUGUCUCAUUUGGAAGGAGAAGAACCGUGUUGUCGCCGUCAACGUCGAAGCUCUGCCGUUUUCCGUGACGGCUUCGUCGACGGCUUGCUGCUUAACACCCAAAGAUACAUGACGCCGGAGUUGGUGUUGUUGGACUUGCGGUGGUGGCGGCCUGGCUGAUGGUUGUGCAGUGUUGGUGUUGCGGUGUGAUGCCGAUUGUUGUGAUAUAGUCGCUGCAGAAUGAGGAUUCGUAGCUGGAAGCACUGUGACUGUUGUUGAUGUUGGUCGGAUAUAAUGGUGUUUUAGUUGUUUUAGUUUCGUUUUAGUUUUAGUUAAGAAUUGUAAUGUUUUAGUUACACUUUUUUUGUAUUUAGUUAAGAAUAAUUAUGUUUUAGUUUUAGUUAUAAUUCUGAGAUAAUGGUCUUCUUAGUGGAAUUGCUGGACUUACUUUCUAUGUUUUAGUUAUGAAUUUUUAAGUUU